rnacentral:lncRNA from 1 species
AAUAAACUUGUCUAACGUUUAAUCAAGCUGAGGGAAAUGCUCAAGUGUUCCUGGUCGGUAAUCCUUCACUCUGUUGAUUAAAACCUAUCUCUGCUGCUUCCAAGUCCUGCUCCUCAGUUCUCCAAUGGUCUUAUUGCCCCGUGUGCGGCUUCAACUCACUCUGGUCCUCUCCUCUCAAAACUCCCCAGAACAGCAGUGCUGUGCGACGCUGGUGGACGUGCCUCUCCUGGAAGACCUGCAGAGCUGUUGGGAAGAGAAGGUGUACAGCCGGAGCUUACUGAUUAGAACAUGUGACUGGUGCAUGAACCUUGAAAUGAGGAGUGAAUGAAGGCAGAAAUUACUGGAAGAGAGGUCAGGG